rnacentral:rRNA from 1 species
GCCUACGGGGCGCAGCAGUGGGGAAUAUUGGACAAUGGGCGCAAGCCUGAUCCAGCAAUGCCGCGUGGGUGAAGAAGGUCUUCGGAUUGUAAAGCCCUUUCGGCGGGGACGAUGAUGACGGUACCCGCAGAAGAAGCCCCGGCUAACUUCGUGCCAGCAGCCGCGGUAAUACGAAGGGGGCUAGCGUUGCUCGGAAUGACUGGGCGUAAAGGGCGCGUAGGCGGCCCGGACAGUCGGAUGUGAAAUUCCUGGGCUCAACCUGGGGGCUGCAUCCGAGACGUUUGGGCUAGAGUGGGGAAGAGGGUCGUGGAAUUCCCAGUGUAGAGGUGAAAUUCGUAGAUAUUGGGAAGAACACCGGUGGCGAAGGCGGCGACCUGGUCCUUGACUGACGCUGAGGCGCGAAAGCGUGGGGAGCAAACAGGAUUAGAUACCCCCGUAGUCC